AACGAACGCUGGCGGCAUGCCUAACACAUGCAAGUCGAACGAGAACUUCGGGCUUAGUGGAGCAGGGGUACGUACCGCGUGGGAACCUGCCCUUAGGUUAGGUAUCACUGCCUGAGGGAGAUCUUAAUAAAAGUUAAUGUCAUAGGACAAAAGAUUUAUUGCGUCUGGAUGGGCCCUCGUUGGAUUCGCCAGUUGGUAGUGUAAAAGCGUAUCAAGGCGAUGAUGCAUAGCUGGUCUGAGAUGAUGACCAGGCACACUGGGACUGAGACACGGCCCAGACUCCGAGGGGAGACAGGAGUAGGUAGUAUUAGACGCGGAACGAUGACCUGGUCCAGCAAUGCGGGGUGAGUGAUGCAGGCCUUAGGAUUGUAAAUCUCUUUUACCCGAGAUGAUAAUGACGGUACCGGGAGAAUAAGCUCCGGCUAACUCCGUG
rnacentral:rRNA from 1 species